GACUGACCAGCGCCCCAUCCCAGGGCCAGCCUGAAAAGCUUCCCGCUGUCUGCACCGGGGACCUCCAACCGCUGCGGUUGCCCGCGCUGAAGCCACUGGGGACCGCCAGCAGCCCUGGCAUGCUCGGGACAUGGAAAGCAUAACGGAGCCUUUCUGACCGAAGCCCGGAGAAACAGAGCGGGACCUCCAAGCACUUUGUGGGGUUAUCUGCCAAGGACUAGCGGCUAGAGAAAUCCCAGCGGCCGGGAGAGGGAACCUGGACAUUCUCUGCCGCCAACUCAAGCAAGUGGCAUGGUGUUCGAAACUAUCGGAGCCGCCUGAGGGUGGGAAUGGGAAACCAUCUGGGCAGAUGUGGCAGGAAAUAAGGUGUCGGCGCAGCAUUGGAUUCCCUCCCUUUCCUUUAGCUUGGUGGAAAGGUGGGGGGACCUAAUGGAAAAACAUAAGACUUAAGUACGUGUUUGUAGGUGUGUGCCUUGGGGUGGGUGGGAGUGUUCCAGGCUUCUAGUUUUUCAGCGAUAGUGCAAAAUGAGGUGAUUUGGGAUGCCUGCACGCCUGGCUUGUCUCUUUUUCUCUGGCACUAAUUAAAAAGCCGCCGACGCUUGCAAGGCGCACACCAAAUUCAGCCCUUUGGUGGCCAGACGGACCGCUGGCACCAGGACCUCGCUUUCCAGCCGGUAUCCCCUCCAGGGAGUUUGUGGUCUUGAUGCCUUCCUUUUAAAUCUGCAUUCUGCCUGGCCUGAGUCAUUUCCCUCCGAAGGUUGCCAGUCAAUUAAAUGGGUUUAAAGUCUCA